UUUCACCAACCGAGCACCGCCCAGCGACAACGGCUUUUGCAUGGAGACGACCAAGCGGUUGUGAUGUUCCAUGUUUGAGCUUCGAAGAUGGAGAAGAGAGCGUCGCUAGGAGUUCUAAAGAAGAGACCCACGAAGCGAAGCAAGAGGAGGGGUCUGCUGAGUUAUCUCAGGAGCAACUCUUACAUGUUCGCCCCCUUGAUCUCUCGUUCCGGUUCUCAUCUUUUCCCGCAAAAGACUUUGCUUUUUUCUGAUACUGGGGGGAGAGCAAGAGAAGAAAAUGAAAGGAGCUUGGUGGAGAAUAUAGGAGAGUACUUGAAGUCCGAUUCUUACAUGUAUGCGCCGAUUGUAGACAUUGAAGAGAGUAAACAUGCUGCCGCAGGUCCAAUCUGCCAACUUGAGAGGGCAUUUGUUGUAUCUUCAGCGAGGAAAACGACAAUGGACGACCAGUCGACAAAUCAGUCGGCAACUCUAAUUGUAGAAAACCACCUCUCCAAUGACGACCACCCCGAGAUUAGUCUUACAGGCCAUAGUUUCGGACAAAGGGAGACGGUUAAGCACAUGGUGUACCAGAACUGCCGCACUUCUACGGUGUCAGAAAAACAGAGGCUGAAUAAAGAGUUCAGGAAAGUCGUCAUCGACUAAAGGGCGGUCUUUGAGUGCUGUGUUCGACGACAGAGGAAACCUUUUCUUUUCUGGUUAACUUUGAGACCGAGAAGACAAAUGUGGAUUGCACAUUUUGAACGCUUUGAAUACUAAUGUAUUUUGAGGGAGUUUUUGGAACGGAACCACUAAAAUCGAUAGGUGCGGUCGCUCCUAAUUUAUCAAAAGAACCGGCGGUAUCAUUUUUUCUGUGACUUGGAGUUUUUUCAACCGGCGUCAUUUGUCACUCGGAUGCCGACUCUGGUUUGAUGUCCGAACGCGCAUAACGGAAGAACAUCUCAUCAACUAAAACUUGGCCGGAUGCUGGACAUUUUCUGUCGUUUCGGUCCCCCUUACAAGUUCUUGUCUGUAUCGUCCAAAUCAAGAAUGCAUUUUGGCUGGAUGUGAUCCGAGUUUCAUCUAAUUGAGCAAGUUAAAAC